UAGCCUGCAGCUAGUUCAAAGUGG
rnacentral:piRNA from 1 species